AGUUUGAUCCUGGCUCAGGAUGAACGCUAGCGGCAGGCCUAAUACAUGCAAGUCGAACGGGAUUGGAGAGCUUGCUUUCCAUGAGAGUGGCGUACGGGUGCGUAACGCGUAUGCAACCUACCUUCAUCAGGGGGAUAGCCCGAAGAAAUUCGGAUUAACACCGCAUAAAAACACAACCUGGCAUCAGGAAAUGUUCAAAUAUUUAUAGGAUGAAGAUGGGCAUGCGUGUCAUUAGCUAGUUGGUGAGGUAACGGCUCACCAAGGCGACGAUGACUAGGGGAUCUGAGAGGAUGACCCCCCACACUGGUACUGAGACACGGACCAGACUCCUACGGGAGGCAGCAGUAAGGAAUAUUGGUCAAUGGAGGCAACUCUGAACCAGCCAUGCCGCGUGCAGGAAGACAGCCCUAUGGGUCGUAAACUGCUUUUAUACGGGAAUAAACCUUGAUUCGUGAAUCAAGCUGAAUGUACCGUAAGAAUAAGGAUCGGCUAACUCCGUGCCAGCAGCCGCGGUAAUACGGAGGAUCCAAGCGUUAUCCGGAUUUAUUGGGUUUAAAGGGAGCGUAGGCGGCUUAUUAAGUCAGGGGUGAAAGACGGUGGCUCAACCAUCGCAGUGCCUUUGAUACUGAUGAGCUUGAAUGUAGUUGAGGUAGGCGGAAUGUGACAAGUAGCGGUGAAAUGCAUAGAUAUGUCACAGAACACCGAUUGCGAAGGCAGCUUACUAAGCUAUUAUUGACGCUGAGGCUCGAAAGCGUGGGGAUCAAACAGGAUUAGAUACCCUGGUAGUCCACGCCCUAAACGAUGAUAACUCGAUGUUGGCGAUAUACAGUCAGCGUCCAAGCGAAAGCGUUAAGUUAUCCACCUGGGGAGUACGCCCGCAAGGGUGAAACUCAAAGGAAUUGACGGGGGCCCGCACAAGCGGAGGCGUG
rnacentral:rRNA from 1 species